ACAAGCUAGAUAAGGGCGUAUGGGGGAUGCCUAGGCUCUCAGAGGCGAAGAAGGACGUGAUAAGCUGCGAAAAGUCGUGGGGAUUGGCACAUACAAAUUGAUCCGCGAAUAUCCGAAUGGGGCAACCCACUAUACUGAAGGUAUAGUACCCGACUUGUCGGGGGCAAACCCGGGGAACUGAAACAUCUAAGUACCCGGAGGAAGAGAAAACAACAGUGAUUGCGCUAGUAGCGGCGAGCGAACGCGCAAAAGCCCAAACCAAUGAGUUUACGGACUUAUUGGGGUAGUAGGACUGCGAUAUGGGUUGUAUAAGGAACUAGAAUCAUCUGGAAAGAUGGGCCAUAGACGGUGACAGCCCGGUAUAGAGAACUUGAUACAAUCUUAGCAGUAUCCUGAGUAGUGCGGGGCACGAGAAACCCUGUAUGAAUCUGGCGGGACCAUCCGCUAAGGCUAAAUACUCCUGAGAGACCGAUAGUGAACCAGUACCGUGAGGGAAAGGUGAAAAGAACCCUGAACAAGGGAGUGAAAAAGAACCUGAAACCAUACGCUUACAAGCGGUCGGAGUCCGCCAAUGGCGGAUGACGGCGUGCCUUUUGCAUAAUGAGCCUACGAGUUAACGUUUCCAGCAAGGUUAAGCACUUAAGGUGUGGAGCCGUAGCGAAAGCGAGUCUGAAUAGGGCGAGAUUCAUCCUUAGGGGAUGAAAGCGCACUUGUGCGCUUAGUUGGUAGUGUUAGACGCGAAACCGUGUGAUCUACCCUUGGGCAGGUUGAAGCUGUGGUAACACACAGUGGAGGACCGAACCCGUUGACGUUGAAAAGUCUUGGGAUGACCUGAGGGUAGGGGUGAAAGGCCAAUCAAACUCGGAAAUAGCUCGUACUCCCCGAAAUGCAUUUAGGUGCAGCGAUAUAGUUAGUUUUAUAGAGGUAGAGCUACUGAUUGGAUGCGGGGGCUUCACCGCCUACCAAUUCCUGACAAACUCCGAAUGCUAUAAAAUGAUGCAUAUCAGUGAGGGCAUGGGUGCUAAGGUCCAUGUCCGAGAGGGAAAGAACCCAGACCAUCAGCUAAGGUCCCCAAAUGUAUGUUAAGUUGAAGAAACGCGGUUGAACUGCCCAGACAGCUAGGAUGUUGGCUUGGAAGCAGCCAUUCAUUUAAAGAGUGCGUAACAGCUCACUAGUCGAGCGGUUCGGCAUGGAUAAUAAUCGGGCAUAAACAUACUACCGAAGCUAUGGAUUUCAUACAAAGGUAUGGAGUGGUAGGGGAGCAUUGUAAUGGGGUUGAAGGUGAACUGCGAGGUUUGCUGGACUAAUUACAAAAGAAAAUGUAGGCAUAAGUAACGAUAAUGCAGGCGAGAAACCUGCACACCGAAAGACCAAGGUUUCCUCAGCUAUGCUAAUCAGCUGAGGGUUAGUCGGGUCCUAAGGCGAACCCGAAGGGGGUAGUCGAUGGACAAGCAGUUAAUAUUCUGCUACUUGCCCCACGUUAAAAGCGGACGGAGGCGUAAAGUUGGUGCGUACUGACGGAAUAGUACGUUGAAGCCAGUGGUAACACGGCGAUAGUACACCAAAGCUACGGCGGCGGUGAUAAUCCAGCGGCGCGACUUCCAAGAAAAGCGAGUGGCGGCAACCCGUACCGUAAACCGACACAGGUAGUUGGGAAGAGAAUUCUAAGGUGCUCGAGAGAUUCAUGGCUAAGGAACUAGGCAAAAUUGGCCCGUAACUUCGGGAGAAGGGUCGCCCCGAGCAAUCGGGGCCGCAGUGAAAAGAUCCAGGCGACUGUUUAUCAAAAACACAGGGCUCUGCUAAAUCGAAAGAUGAUGUAUAGGGCCUGACACCUGCCCGGUGCUGGAAGGUUAAGGGGAGACGUCAUCCGCCAUUGGCGGAGAAGCGUUCAACUGAAGCCCCAGUAAACGGCGGCCGUAACUAUAACGGUCCUAAGGUAGCGAAAUUCCUUGUCGGGUAAGUUCCGACCUGCACGAAUGGUGCAACGAUCUGGAUACUGUCUCAGCCAUGAGCUCGGUGAAAUUGUAGUAUCGGUGAAGAUGCCGAUUACCCGCUACGGGACGAAAAGACCCCGUGCACCUUUACUAUAGCUUAGUAUUGACUUUGAACAAGUGAUGUGUAGGAUAGGUAGGAGACUUUGAAGCAGCCUCGCCAGGGGUUGUGGAGUCGUUGUUGAAAUACUACCCUUUACUUGUUUAGAGCCUAACCCCGAGAACUUGGGGGACAGUGCUUGGUGGGUAGUUUGACUGGGGUGGUCGCCUCCAAAAGAGUAACGGAGGCUUCUAAAGGUUCCCUCAGCACGCUUGGUAACCGUGCGUAGAGUGCAAUGGCAAAAGGGAGCUUGACUGAGAGACAUACAGGUCGAUCAGGUACGAAAGUAGAGCAUAGUGAUCCGGUGGCACCGCAUGGAAGGGCCAUCGCUCAAAGGAUAAAAGGUACGCCGGGGAUAACAGGCUGAUCUCCCCCAAGAGCUCACAUCGACGGGGGGGUUUGGCACCUCGAUGUCGGCUCGUCACAUCCUGGGGCUGGAGAAGGUCCCAAGGGUUGGGCUGUUCGCCCAUUAAAGUGGCACGCGAGCUGGGUUCAGAACGUCGUGAGACAGUUCGGUCUCUAUCUGUAGUGGGCGUUAGAAAUUUGAGUGGACCUGACUCUAGUACGAGAGGACCGAGUUGGACCAACCUCUGGUGUACCAGUUGUUCCGCCAGGAGCACUGCUGGGUAGCUACGUUGGGAAGGGAUAAGCGCUGAAAGCAUAUAAGCGCGAAACCCACCACAAGAUGAGAUUUCUUUAAAGGACCGUGGGAGACUACCACGUUGAUAGGCCACAGGUGUAAGAGCAGUAAUGUUUGUAGCCGAGUGGUACUAAUACUCCGUAAAGCUUGAUGCG
rnacentral:rRNA from 1 species